rnacentral:tRNA from 1 species
GGCGAGGUAGCUCAGUUGGUUAGAGCGCAGGAUUCAUAACCCUGAGGUCGGGAGUUCAAAUCUCCCUCUCGCCACCA